rnacentral:rRNA from 1 species
CGUUAUCCGGAUUUAUUGGGUUUAAAGGGUGCGUAGGCGGGUGAUUAAGUCAGCGGUGAAAUGCGUCAGCUUAACUGGCGAACUGCCAUUGAAACUGGUUACCUUGAGUGUAGCGGAAGUAUGCGGAAUGCGUGGUGUAGCGGUGAAAUGCAUAGAUAUCACGCAGAACUCCGAUUGCGAAGGCAGCAUACCAUACUAUAACUGACGCUGAAGCACGAAAGCGUGGGUAUCGAACAGGAUUAGAUACCCUGGUAGUCCACGCAGUAAACGAUGAAUACUCACCGUUUGCGAUAUAAUGUAAGCGGUAAAGCGAAAGCGUUAAGUAUUCCACCUGGGGAGUACGCCGGCAACGGUGAAACUCAAAGGAAUUGACGGGGGCCCGCACAAGCGGAGGAACAUGUGGUUUAAUUCGAUGAUACGCGAGGAACCUUACCCGGGCUCAAACGACAGGGGAAUAUAUGGGAAACCAUAUAGCCAGCAAUGGUCGCUGUCGAGGUGCUGCAUGGUUGUCGUCAGCUCGUGCCGUGAGGUGUCGGCUUAAGUGCCAUAACGAGCGCAACCCUUAUUGAUAGUUACUAACAGGUAAAGCUGAGGACUCUAUCGAGACUGCCGGCGUAAGCCGCGAGGAAGGUGGGGAUGACGUCAAAUCAGCACGGCCCUUACGUCCGGGGCGACACACGUGUUACAAUGGCAGGGACAGAGAGCAGCCAGGCGGCGACGCCGCGCGAAUCUCCAAACCCUGUCUCAGUUCGGAUUGGAGUCUGCAACUCGACUCCAUGAAGCUGGAUUCGCUAGUAAUCGCGCAUCAGCCAUGGCGCGGUGAAUACGUUCCCGGGCCUUGUACACACCGCCCGUCAAGCCAUGGAAGCCGGGAGUACCUGAAGUAUGCAACCGCGAGGAGCGUCCUAGGGUAAA